ACUUCCAUAUCGUGCGGUGAUUCGUCAUUCAUCCAAAGAGCGAGCACUAGUCUGGAGUAUCCUUAUGUGUCUACGAAUAUUUUGCUUAAAUUAGAUUCGUCCUUGUGUUUUACCAAAUGGAUUGUUGAUAUUACGGAAACCCGUUUAGUAAAUGUUCAUUUGUUAAUCUCAUUAACAUGCUUUGCGAACGUUGUAUCGGACCUGUGCACGAAAAGAUACGGAAGUCUUCAUCGAUGUGAAGAAAGUGUGCGAAGAAGAAGACAGAAAGGGCCACUCCUGUUUCAUUGUGUCUCGCUAAUGUCGGAUACUUGUGAGUUGUUCUCGUUAUACUAAUUUGGUGCGAAAGUUUAUUACGGUUGGUGAUACUACGCGAGAAAAAAUAUCGAAGGAACUGUGGAGAUUAGGAUCAUAGAUCCGAGCACUACUACUCCCAAAAAUGAUGAAAAGUUUGUUCGGCAGGAAAACUGCCAAAGACCAUGACCGGAACAAAAUAUCGGAGAUCGGCUUGCCCACGAACGUGGUGCACGGAAUACAUGUCAGUAAAAAUAAGCUCACCGGUGAUCUGGAGGGACUGCCAAAAGCAUGGAUCAGGCUUAUGGAUGCAUCUAUCACGCAUGAUGAACAGAGCAAAAACCCAGAGGCAGCAUAUCAGGCAGUCAAAUUCUAUAAUUACUCGAUCAAGAAAAAAGAACAAGCUGAACCGUUUAAGCCAUUUAUAACCGAAGAUGCCAUUCAUGAGGAAACUGAAUCCAUUGAUCAGUUUUUGGAUAUGAAAAAUGCCCACAAGAGUGAGGAUUCCAUUGAAAGUGAGGAAAUUUAUGAAGAAGUUACACCGCCUCCACCUCCAUUGCCUAAGAAGGCGAUGACCUUGCCUCCAAAGCCACAGGUAAUGCCUAAGCCGAAAAACUAUCCUAAACUGUCCAAAGGUUUCCAGAAUUUGAAUCUAUUGGAAGGAGGAAACAAAGAAACUAUGAUAAUUCAUAGUAAUAGCACGGCAUUGGAUAAUCACAAAAGUGCAUACGAUUUGGUCAAUAAAGUCGAUUUAGACGCUGAUACCGAGCUAAUAUUAAGGCCAAAGGAGCAAAAUGCCCGUACACCGAAAACUGAUAUGCAAGUUUACAACGAACUGAAGCGAAUCUGCAAUAUGAAUGAUCCAUUGGAACGAUACGAGAAAACUGUCGAAGUUGGUAAAGGUGCUUCUGGAGUAGUAUUCAUAGCUAAUGAUCGUCAUACAUCCAACAAAGUCGCGAUCAAGACAAUCGAUAUGAAAAAUCAAUCAUCCAAAGAGUCCAUCCUAAAUGAAAUUAAUGUACUGAAAGAUUUCAACCAUCGGAAUCUGGUGAACUUCCUUGAGGCCUACUACAUUGAGACAGAUGAUCACCUGUGGGUUAUUCUGGAAUACAUGGAUGGAGGCCCUCUGACUGAUGUGGUUACAGAAACAGUGAUGAAAGAACGCCAGAUUGCCGCAGUUUGUCGCGAGGUUCUUCAGGCAAUUAGCUUUCUGCAUUCAAAGGGAAUUAUUCACAGAGAUAUUAAAUCGGACAAUGUGCUCCUCGGGAUGGAUGGAUCAGUCAAAGUGACUGAUUUCGGAUUUUGUGCCAAUAUCGAAGGGGAUGAGAAGCGUCAAACUAUGGUUGGGACACCAUACUGGAUGGCGCCGGAAGUUGUAACACGAAAGCAAUAUGGAAAGAAGGUGGACAUUUGGUCAUUGGGUAUUAUGGCGAUAGAAAUGAUCGAAGGUCAACCACCAUAUCUCAAUCAAGCUCCUUUGCGAGCACUCUAUCUAAUCGCAGCAAAUGGGCGACCUGACGUGAAGAGUUGGGAAAAACUGUCGGACAAUUUGAAGGACUUCCUCGACCGCUGCCUUCAGGUGGAAGUUGAUCAACGUGCAUCGGCGGACGAAUUGUUGCAACAUCCGUUCCUUCAGGACUGCAUGGAACUACGAACCUUGACUCCAUUGAUCAAAGCAGCCCGGCGAUUGCUGAAACGGGACAACUAUAGUUAAGCUGAUGGACGAAGAAGGAAAAAAUACGCCGAUGUGGCUGUGAAAUUAAGUGCCUUAAAAUUACAAAUGAACUGCUCUUUCCAAUGUGGGACGAAACGAAAAACCGUAAGCGGAAAGUGAAAAAAAUAGAUAAGGUUUCGACACUUUUUCGUUGAUAAGAGACCCGAGUAUCGAAGGCAAGGCAAGUAAGAUUACAAGAAUGAAUAAAAAAGAAAAUUGAUUGGAAAUGUA